AGAGUUUGAUCAUGGCUCAGGAUGAACGCUAGCGGCGUGGAUAAGGCAUGCAAGUCGAACGCUCCAGCUUGCUGGAGAGUGGCAGACGGGUGAGUAAUACAUAGGAAUCUACCUCGAAGUCUGGAAUAACAUCGAGAAAUCGGUGCUAAUACCAGAUGGUCCCGCAAGGGUAAAGAUUUAUCGCUUCGAGAAGAGCCUGUGCACUAUCAGCUUGUUGGUGAGGUAAAAGCUCACCAAGGCUAUGACGGUUAGGAGGCCCGAGAGGGUGUUCUCCCACAUUGGCACUGAGACACUGGCCAAACUCCUACGGGAGGCAGC
rnacentral:rRNA from 1 species